rnacentral:lncRNA from 12 species
AAGGAAUGCAUGAAUGAAUCAAAGAGUAGAAGCAUAAUGUCACAAGGUGGUUCUCUGGGGCCUCCCACAUCCAGCCGCCUGAGGUUCCAGAUUCCGGGGGCCAGAGGAGCCCCUCCUCUGCGACUCACGCUACCUGCACCUGAGAUGCCUCUACUCACGCCGGUGCAUUGGAGCGCUACAGGUAUUCAACACGUGCCAAAGGGGCUGGGCUGAAUUUACAGG